rnacentral:lncRNA from 1 species
GCUCAAGCUGUAUCUUUCCUAAAACUAGCCAGCUGGAUGAUAGAAAUGUCUCAGACAACGUGCCACCAGCCCAAAGAGCACAGACAUACUAAAGCAGAGGCAGCAGCUUCCCUGAAGCACGCACAGAGCUGGAAGAAGGAGAACACAUUCCAUACAUUUUUCUAGAAAGUCUAGUAUUGCUUUCACUUCCCUUGAGUCAUUUAGGUUUCUGAAAGCUAAUCAUCUCCCAGAAAAAAUCUAACAGAUGUGUGGAGCUGAUAACACAAAUCUCAGCAGAAUAGAGAAGCACACAAGACUAUGCCCAUCUUCCCACCCACACCGGAGAGCGAGCUGAGUGCAUACACAUGGACGCGUGGGGAGAAGAGGAGGUGACCAUCCGUCCCUUCACAGCAUGCUAACAAUUUUGUCAACUGGCUCUUCAACAUACUCAGACUGGGGUGGCGGGGGUGGGGGAGGACAGUUUCCUACAGACACAGUAGGAACAUGGCCUCUAGGCAUUAAAUUAACCAGCGGUUUCUUUGGCAUGUUCGAACAAGUCUAGAACCCAAAGCACAUAUGCUAAGGGGAGAGGAAAAUUGCCUACUUGAUAAAAAUAAGCGGUAUCUAACCUCUGAGCUCAGAGCUUGAUUUCUGAUGCCAGUUUGAUAAGACUGGCAAAUGCACUUCUUGGUAACAACACUGAGGCCAGUACGGGAGCACUGAGUAUUCAAGUCUCACACAUAGCAUGACUUAAGAAAUGACAGCAGCAUUAGGAAAUGUGCUAAAAUUUUAAAAGGUGUAACAACCCUGUCUUCUGGUUACC